rnacentral:rRNA from 1 species
UACGGGGGGUGCGAGCGUUGUCCGGAAUCACUGGGCGUAAAGGGCGCGUAGGUGGCUCUGUAAGUUUGCGGUGAAAGCCCGGGGCUCAACCCCGGGUCUGCCGUGGAUACUGCAAGGCUUGAGUACUGUAGAGGCAGGUAGAAUAUCGGGUGUAGCGGUGGAAUGCGUAGAGAUCCGAAAGAAGACCGGUGGCGAAGGCGGCGUGCUGGACAGUAACUGACACUGAGGCGCGAAAGCGAGGGGAGCAAACAGG